rnacentral:rRNA from 1 species
AGUAGUUUGAUCAUGGCUCGAGGACGACGCUGGCGGCGUGCUUAACACAUGCAAGUCGAACGGGGUAGAUUGGAAGCUUGCUUUUGAGAUACCUAGUGGCGAACGGGUGAGUAACGCGUAGGCAACCUACCCCCUGAAUGGGGACAACAUCGCGAAAGCGGUGCUAAUACCGAAUGAAGUCGUAUAACCGCAUGGGGAUGCGACCAAAGAUGGCCUCUGCUUGCAAGCUAUCAUCGGGGGACGGGCCUGCGUCUGAUUAGCUGGUUGGUGAGGUAACGGCCCACCAAGGCGACGAUCAGUAGCCGGUCUGAGAGGAUGGACGGCCACAUUGGGACUGAGACACGGCCCAGACUCC